CAUUAGGAACUGGUUUAUCUCCUUAGGACCUCUAGAAGACAAUUAAAUGUCAUUGCUAUAAUUAUUUUUUGUUCUCUGUCUGUCUUGAUAUCCUGAAAGAGAAGUUGUGUGACCCACAGAGAGGUAGCACAUGGCUCAGGCUAGCAGCCUGGUAGGUGGGAGGCAGGGUGUGUCCCUUGACGUUAAAUAUACUGUGACCCAAUCUGAAACUUAACUGCUUGACUUCAUGCUGGAAGAUAGGCAAAUAGGCUGAUUGGCAAAACAGCAGAAGGAGGUGGUGUUAGGAACAGGAGCAGUCAGCAUCUGCUUUUCCCUUUUCUGGAGAGAAGACUAUUGACUUGGAAUUGCCUUUGAGCAGAGGGUUAAGGUCAUGGGGAGUUUCAAAGGUCAUGCCCUUCCUGGAACCUUCUUUAUUCUCAUGGGCUUUUGGUGGAGUACAAAGGUUAUUCUGAAAUAUGUCUACAAAAAGCAAACUCGGACCUGCUACCUUAGUUCCAAAACAUUUUUACGUCGAGCAGAAAUUUGGGAAGGAGUUGUCGCAAUCAUAAUGGCUUUAACUGGUAUGGUUGGGGAGCAGUUCAUCUCAGGCGGACCGUACCUGAAUUUGUAUAAAGAUGGCCAGUGGAAUCAGCUUCUGGGCUGGCAUCACACAACAAUGUACUUCUUCUUUGGGUUACAGGGUGUAUCCCAAGUCAUAUGUUUCACGACCAAUUUGUUUCCAACAUCCUUGAGCAAGUUAAUGUUAUCAAAUGCCAUCUUUGUAGAGUCAUUUAUCUUCUACAACCACACUCAUGGUCGGGAAAUGUUGGAUGUUUUUGUGCACCAGCUUCUUGUCUUCACCACCAUUUUGGCGGGUCUGGUUACCUUCAUAGAGUUCCUCACAAAGAACAAUGUACUUCUGGAGCUCCUGCGGUCAAGCCUCAUCAUACUGCAAGGGACCUGGUUCUGGCAGGUUGCUUUUGUCCUGUAUCCUCCCAGUGGAAGUCCUGAAUGGAAUCUGUCAGACAUUGAGAAUAAAAUGUUUCUCACCAUGUGCUUUUGUUGGCAUUAUGCAUCAAUCUUUGUCAUCACGGGAUUAAAUUAUGCUCUUAUCACCUGGCUGACAUCUGGGCCUCAUCUCCUUAGGGGCUGGGGAGUCUUCAGGAACAGUCCCAGGAUGCAAGGAAAAACUCUGCUUCGUGUCAGCUCCCAUCCAGAGCCAACAGAAGACUACUGUCUCUUCCUGUUUCAAAAGCCUUCAGAUGCCUAAUAAAUGGCUUAUCCACUUACAGGUCCCUAGAAACAAGAAACUCCAGUUUUAUUUUUCAACCUCUCCCAAUCUCCACAGCAUGCUAUUCUAAUCUUUUUGACCAGACAGUUCCCUUUACCUGGUAUAUUCACACUAGAUGCCCAUCUCUUCUUUGAAACCUUCUAUAAUUCCUCUGGCCCAUGUUAAUUAUGUUUCCUGAGCUGCGGUAGUACUUUGCACUAGAUAUUUUAAAUAUUGUGAUGUGUCAAUUGCAAUAUUGACUACUUGCCCCCAUUAGCUCUCCCUGCCAGCUAGAUUGUAUCCCCAUGUGAAAACUAUCAUUUUCAAAUUCCCAUACCAGCUGACACAUGGAUAGACUUAGAGUAAGUGCUUAGAUAACAUUUGUUAGCUGUUGACUAAAUCUCCAUUUCAAAGGUACUUAAAUACACCCUUCAUUUGUUUGGAAGUUGUAUUUUAUAUGUUUCUUGAUUUUUCCUUUAAUAUUGAGAAGAUAAGACCAAGAGCUCAACGUUCCCUGAACUAUUUUUGAUAUGUAUUUAAGCAACUGUUUUAAAAUACCACAAAGAUUCAGUAUUGUCUUUCAGUGAGAUCACAUGAUCAGUUCUCACUUUGAGAAUAAGGAGGCUUGAAACUCCUUUAGUCAGGGCUUGACUAUGAAGUGGCUGCCUAUCCACAAGUCAUUAAAGGUCAGAUAUUAUAUCCAAGUUGUUUGACAUAGCACAAUGACUGCCAUACAAGCACAUCUAAAUUAUAGAAUUCUCCUCCCUAAAUCCUUGAAAGAUGAUGCAAAAUGUCCCAGCUUUACUAAAUAAUGGUUCAAGAUUGCCUCAUUCUAUCCCUGCCUACAGUCUUGAUUAUGUUAGUUAAAUCUAGACUUAGGAAGGUCUGCACCUCAGAAGUUGGACUCCUGAAAAGUGCUGAGCGUGAGCAUGAAUCGGAAGAAGAAGUGUGAUUUUGAUGGGCAUCCACUCAUGCCAAAGAAAAGCUUCUCCUUUUUCAUUGCCUUUGCUCAUGGCUUUGUUUCUUGACCUUGUCUGAAGAACAGCCGCCUGAGUCUGACUCCAUGUUGUUUGUAUUUCCAGUUUUGUUAAAGUGUUGAACUUUAAAUGUCUCACCUACAGCUUUGAAAGUACCUCGGAUGACAAAUUCCCUUUGCAUAUUGUGCAUGCCAGAGUAUUCAGGACCAAUCAUGAUUUUUCCAAAGUUUAUACUAUGAGAAUGGUUUGUUUUGUUUUCCUGGUGGAUACCUUCAAGAUUUAUGGCCUUGUCAUCACUUGUAAUUAAUUAAAUGUUAAGUUUUACUUGUUUAUCUUGUUGCCAUAAUGAAAAAUAAAUGAAUGCAUGCACCUUUGUGCAAAAAUCUCAAAUCCUCAUUUUUUUAUUGAAGUAUACCCCAUCCUCAGAUGAUACAGAAAAACCUGCAUAUACAGAAAUCCCUUUCUUUGAGAUAUUUCUGCAUGGAAAACUUGAUGCAAAAGCUAGAUGAGAAAUCUUCCUGUGAGCUUUCUAAAAGGGAAUAACAUUAAGGCACAUGGUUUUAAAGAUGUCAGAGACAUCUUUAAAAGGGGCAUAGUGGUAUUAGCAUAGCCUAGCAUGACCACCAUGCCAUUUGCUCUGUUAAACAAGUAAAUGAUUAAACAACAUGCCU